ACGAACGCUGGCGGCGUGCCUAACACAUGCAAGUCGAGCGAAUGAAGUUCCUUCGGGAAUGGAUUUAGCGGCGGACGGGUGAGUAACACGUGGGCAACCUGCCUCAUAGAGGGGAAUAGCCUCCCGAAAGGGAGAUUAAUACCGCAUAAGAUUGUAGUACCGCAUGAUACAGCAAUUAAAGGAGCAAUCCGCUAUGAGAUGGGCCCGCGGCGCAUUAGCUAGUUGGUGAGGUAAUGGCUCACCAAGGCGACGAUGCGUAGCCGACCUGAGAGGGUGAUAGGCCACAUUGGGACUGAGACACGGCCCAGACUCCUACGGGAGGCAGCAGUGGGGAAUAUUGCACAAUGGGGGAAACCCUGAUGCAGCAACGCCGCGUGAGUGAUGACGGCCUUCGGGUUGUAAAGCUCUGUCUUCAGGGACGAUAAUGACGGUACCUGAGGAGGAAGCCACGGCUAACUACGUG
rnacentral:rRNA from 1 species